rnacentral:rRNA from 1 species
UACGUAGGGGGCAAGCGUUGUCCGGAUUUAUUGGGCGUAAAGAGCGUGUAGGCGGCCAGGUAGGUCUGCUGUGAAAACUCGAGGCUCAACCUCGAGACGUCGGCGGAAACCAUCUGGCUAGAGUCCGGAAGAGGAGAGUGGAAUUCCUGGUGUAGCGGUGAAAUGUGUAGAGAUCGGGAGGAACACCGGUGGCGAAGGCGGGUCUCUGGGCAUCUCCUGACGCUGAGGCGCGAAAGCGUGGGGAGCAAACGGG